UCACCCUCGAUUCUUUCUUUCAUGCCCCUAAUAAACAUGUGGAUGUGGAAAACCACUAUGUGUGAACUUGUGGCUGGCACGCCCUUCGCCGCUUCAAUAGAUCAAGUCACAGAUAUUUUCACUAAAGGCCUUUAAACAUUUUGCCCUCAACUGCUUAGCUUGAGGAGGACUAACAAGAAUCAAAUAUCAAAGAAUACUGGGAUAAAAUUCAAUUGCCAACAUAUAAGCGUGAUCCUGCGCGGGGACC
rnacentral:lncRNA from 1 species